UCAGGAAUAUUGGUCAAUGGGGGCAACCCUGAACCAGCCAAGUCGCGUGAAGGAUGAAGGUCUUAUGGAUUGUAAACUUCUUUUACACGGGAAUAAAGCGGGGGACGUGUCCCCCUUUGCAUGUACCGUGUGAAUAAGGAUCGGCUAACUCCGUGCCAGCAGCCGCGGUAAUACGGAGGAUCCGAGCGUUAUCCGGAUUUAUUGGGUUUAAAGGGUGCGCAGGCGGGAUGUUAAGUCGGCGGUGAAAUUUUGCAGCUCAACUGUAAAAGUGCCUUCGAUACUGGCCUCCUUGAGUGUGGAUGAAGUAGGCGGAAUUUGUGGUGUAGCGGUGAAAUGCUUAGAUAUCACGAGGAACUCCGAUUGCGCAGGCAGCUUACUAAGCCACAACUGACGCUCAUGCACGAAGGCGUGGGGAUCAAACA
rnacentral:rRNA from 1 species